rnacentral:lncRNA from 1 species
GGCAGUGGCGGGGUACGAUAGAGCACUAGAGGUUUUUGUGUGCAUGAAGUGGCUGAGAUGGGUUAGGUUGGACAAGAGGUGGCGGGCAAUAAGUUGGGACUUGUGAUGAAGAGAGAGGGAGUGGAGGUGGUGGAGGGUGAGGGAGAAGAGAGUAGGGGAGGAGAGGAGGGAGGUGAGACGAAGGUGAUGGCAGUGGAAGAGGGAGGAAAUGGAGGUGAUCAGAUCUGAGAGUUGGGGAGGAGUUAAGGUGGACAGUGCGGCCAUGAUCACAGUUUCAGUGUAGUAUUGGUUUUCCAUCUUGGGAUCAUGUGCAAGAGAAACAAGGAUUUCACUUGAUUGUGGGGAAGAGUUUUG